rnacentral:rRNA from 1 species
CAGUCGCCGCGGUAAUACGAACCGUGCGAACGUUAUUCGGAAUCACUGGGCUUAAAGCGCGUGUAGGCGGAUCGCCGCGUCGGCUGCUGAAAUCCCCCGGCUCAACCGGGGAACUGGCACCGAUACGGGCGGUCUCGAGGGGGGUAGGGGGGUCUGGAACUUCCGGUGGAGCGGUGAAAUGCGUUGAGAUCGGAAGGAACGCCCGUGGCGAAAGCGAGGCCCUGGACCCUUUCUGACGCUGAGACGCGAAAGCCAGGGGAGCGAACGGGAUUAGAUACCCCCGUAGUCCCUGUCUCUUAUA